rnacentral:lncRNA from 1 species
ACAAACCCACAGCCACCGGAGGAAGAGAGAGAAUGCCUGCAUGAUAAUCGUGGGGGCAGGGGCUCAGGGGCUCAGGGAGGCCUCUUUGAGGAGAUGGUCUUAACAUCUGAGAGCUGAGAAGAAUUCAGCCUCACAAAGCCCAGAGACCCGGGUCCCCAGGAGGGAGAUGGGGCUGGGAGACGCGGUGGAGUGGCCAGGCCAGGAGUGGCCCGCAGGAUUGGAGCCUGGCAGGUCACUGGGGAGUCUCCUGCUUGUCCCAGAGCCAGUGUCAGUGAGAGCUGGGUGGCGGGGCCAGCGGGAGGCUGAGGGACCCAGGGUCCGGGAGUGUGGGAAGUGAGAGCAGCCUCUCCUUGGUUCCUCGGCAGCCCGGGGCCUCACCCCUGCAAGGUCUGGGUGGCCACCGCUUGCAGGGCCGUCCCUCUGGGAGUGGGUAGAGGGGACAGGGGACCCUGGGACAACCUUCGCCCCUCCGAAGGCAAGACCUUGUCGCGUUCAUGCUCCAGCCCUUUCCCAUCUGGGUUCCUCCUGUGUGCUGGGAGCGCGUGGCCUUCUGAGAACAGGGCAGCAUGGUGGACGGGCGAGCGCGGCACGGCGAGGUCCGAGCCCCCGGCUGCUCUCCCCAGCCCUGAGAACACAGGCUGCUCCAUAAGCUCUGUGGGCCUCAGGCUCCUGGUCUCUAGAAUGUAGCCAUGGGCAGGCUACCCAGAAGUGAGAUGCCUGCCCAAAAAAGCCCUGUGCCCAGCCCACAGCCAGCACUUGGUUCAUUGGGCCCCAGCUCAAAACCCCCCCCGAGAGGCCUGCCCUGAGCACCGUCCCUGUCCCUGUGUGCCCUUUCAGUCACAAGUCAGCAGCACGCAGCCACCCACCGAGGCUGAGCCUCUUCAAAUUCGCUUCGAUGUUUGCCGCGCACUGACUCAGGUCUCCAGGCCUCAGUUUCCUCACCCGCGAACUAGGGGCGGUCUCUGGGGACUGUUCUAAGGGCCUGUCUUGUGUGACGCUGUGUGCCACCCCACACAUCUUCAACCCCGGAGAAAGAUUCUGGUGGUGGAAGCUGUUGAGUAAAUGCUCACUUGAGUUUCUCCCACUGCCUUGGAGUCCCUCUUCUGUUUUUCUCCAAAUUCUCUUUGUUGACAGAGUACACAGUUCAAAACCCCACACAGGGAUGAACGAGAGGACGCCCAGGUCCAGCCCAGCAGCGGCUUCCUGUCCCUUCCACCUCUCUCUUUCCCUCUGCCACUGCCAUCUACUGGGACGCUCUUCCUGGGCCCCUGUAGGACAAGGACUGCCUGUGGCUGAGGUCCCCUCCAUGCAGAACAUACAGCACAGGUGUGCCCCAAAGAGGAACAGAGAGAAGGAGGAGGAGGGUCCAAGAGAGAUUUGGAAAUGAAUGCCAGGAAGCUCAGGCGCUGGACGUGCGUUUGGGGCGCCUGGCCUUUCC